AUGGGGUCGCUCCAGCUGUGGGAUCCCGCUCAGAGCAGGGCCGCGGGGCAGUGCGGGGCUCAUCCCUCGCGCAUCCCUGCAGGGUCACCCCGGCCGAGAGGGGCCAGCCGGAGAGAAGGGUCUCCAGGUAAGGAGCCGCCCUGGGGAAGCGGCUCAGCCCCCCUCGUGGGGUCCCUGCCUGCCCCCCCCCCUGCACGGAUGGGGCCGUUUCCAUCUCUGCUGAUGCUGGCUCUGCCCCCAGGGCCCUGCGGGCGCCGCUGGCCCCGUCGGCUAUCCGGGACCGCGCGGGGUGAAGGUAAGCACAGCCUCCCCCUCAGCCAGGCCCCGCGGUGGGGUCGGGCUGCAUCCCCCCGAUCGGGAGCCUCCCUCCGGCCCCCCGGCCCCUCUGUGUCUCCGCAGGGAGCUUUCGGCGUGCGCGGCCUGAAGGGCAGCAAAGGGGAGAAGGUAAGGGCGGCUGGCGAGGGGGUCCCAGGGACGCUCGUGCCGGUGCUGUCACAGCCCUGCGCUGGGGGUGCUGGGCGGCUGGAGACGGCCCUCCGCACCGGGGUGGGGGGCUUGCGCCGGAGCUGGCGCGGUCUUGGCCCCCCCAGCCUGUGCUUCCCUUCAGGGAGAAGAUGGAUUCCCCGGCUUCAAGGGGGACAUGGGUCCGAAGGGCGACAGGGUAAGCGGGGUCCCCGGGGAGGGGGGGUGUUUCCACAUUUCUGGCCUCUCUUGGGGGUUGCGGGAGCCCCGGGGGCAGUUUGGGGGGGCGGUCUGGCUGCAGGGGGGUGCGGGGACACGGGGGGGCGGCCCCGGCGGUGUUUCGCCGGGCGGCACGCUCCCCGCGCUGCUGCCUUGCUGUUCCAGGGGGACCAGGGCCCGCUGGGCCCCCGGGGUGAGGACGGCCCCGAGGGGCUGAAGGGGCAGACGGGCCCCAUGGGCGAACCAGGCGCUGCCGGCCCUGCCGGCGAUAAGGUGGGUGCCAGCGCUCUGCCCCCGCGCCCGCGGCGCGUGCUGCCCCCAGCUCAGCUCCGCUCUCUCCCUUGCAGGGCAAGCUGGGCGUGCCGGGCCUCCCAGGAUACCCUGGACGCCAGGGCCCCAAGGUGA
rnacentral:lncRNA from 1 species